rnacentral:rRNA from 1 species
AGGGUUUGAUUAUGGCUCAGGAUGAACGCUGGCGGCGUGCUUAACACAUGCAAGUCGAACGAAGCAUUUAAAACAGAUUAUUUCGGUAUGAAGUUUUUUAUGACUGAGUGGCGGACGGGUGAGUAACGCGUGGGUAACCUGCCUUGUACUGGGGGAUAGCAGCUGGAAACGGCUGGUAAUACCGCAUAAGCGCACGAUGUCGCAUGACAUAGUGUGAAAAACUCCGGUGGUAUAAGAUGGACCCGCGUCUGAUUAGCUAGUUGGUGAGAUAACAGCCCACCAAGGCGACGAUCAGUAGCCGACCUGAGAGGGUGACCGGCCACAUUGGGACUGAGACACGGCCCAG